rnacentral:rRNA from 1 species
GCAUAUCAAUAAGCGGAGGAAAAGAAACCAACAGGGAUUACCUCAGUAACGGCGAAGUGAAGCGGUAACAGCUCAAAUUUGAAAUCUGGCCUCACGGUCCGAGUUGUAAUUUGUAGAGGAUGCUUCGAGCAUGGUCUGGCCUAAGUUCCUUGGAACAGGACGUCAUAGAGGGUGAGAAUCCCGUAUGCGGCCAGGUGCCUACGCUCAUGUGAAGCUCCUUCGACGAGUCGAGUUGUUUGGGAAUGCAGCUCAAAAUGGGUGGUAAAUUUCAUCUAAAGCUAAAUAUUGGCCAGAGACCGAUAGCGCACAAGUAGAGUGAUCGAAAGAUGAAAAGCACUUUGGAAAGAGAGUUAAACAGUACGUGAAAUUGUUGAAAGGGAAGCGCUUGCAACCAGACUUGCGCGCGGCCGAUCAUCCGGUGUUCUCACCGGUGCACUCGGCCGUGCUCAGGCCAGCAUCGGUUUUGGCGGCUGGAUAAAGGCCCUAGGAAUGUAGCUCCUCUCGGGGAGUGUUAUAGCCUAGGGUGCAAUGCAGCCUGCUGGGACCGAGGACCGCGCUUCGGCUAGGAUGCUGGCGUAAUGGUUGUAAGCGGCCCGUCUUGAAACACGGACCAAGGAGUCUAACAUCUAUGCGAGUGUUUGGGUGUCAAACCCAUACGCGUAAUGAAAGUGAACGGAGGUGAGAACCCUUAAGGGUGCAUCAUCGACCGGUCCUGAAGUUUACGGAAGGAUCUGAGUAAGAGCAUAGCUGUUGGGACCCGAAAGAUGGUGAACUAUGCCUGAAUAGGGUGAAGCCAGAGGAAACUCUGGUGGAGGCUCGCAGCGGUUCUGACGUGCAAAUCGAUCGUCAAAUUUGGGUAUAGGGGGCGAAAGACUAAUCGAACCAUCUAGUAGCUGGUCCUGC